AUGCAAGUCGAGCGAUGAAACUACUUCGGUAGUGAAUUAGCGGCGAACGGGUGAGGAACACGUGAGGAAUCUGCCUUCUACACUGGGAUAACUCCGGGAAACCGGGGCUAAUACCGGAUACGAAACUUGGUGGCAUCACCGAGUUUGGAAAGUUUUUCGGUAGAAGAUGACCUCGCGGCCUAUCAGCUUGUUGGUGAGGUAAUGGCUCACCAAGGCGACGACGGGUAGCCGGCCUGAGAGGGCGACCGGCCACACUGGGACUGAGACACGGCCCAGACUCCUACGGGAGGCAGCAGUGGGGAAUAUUGGGCAAUGGAGGAAACUCUGACCCAGCGACGCCGCGUGCGGGAUGAAGGCCUUCGGGUUGUAAACCGCUUUCAGUAGGGAAGAAGCGAAAGUGACGGUACCUACAGAAGAAGCACCGGCUAACUAUGUGCCAGCAGCCGCGGUAAUACAUAGGGUGCAAGCGUUGUCCGGAAUUAUUGGGCGUAAAGAGCUCGUAGGUGGUUCGUUACGUCGGAUGUGAAAAUCUGGGGCUCAACCCCAGACCUGCAUCCGAUACGGUCGAGCUAGAGUUUGGUAGGGGAGACUGGAAUUCCUGGGGUAGCGGUGGAAUGCGCAGAUAUCAGGAGGAACACCAAUGGCGAAGGCAGGUCUCUGGGCCAAUACUGACACUGAGGAGCGAAAGCGUGGGGAGCGAACAGGAUUAGAUACCCUGGUAGUCCACGCCGUAAACGGUGGGCGCUAGUUGUGGGAACCUUCCACGGUUUCUGCGACGCAGCUAACGCAUUAAGCGCCCCGCCUGGGGAGUACGAUCGCAAGAUUAAAACUCAAAGGAAUUGACGGGGCCCCGCACAAGCAGCGGAGCAUGCGGCUUAAUUCGACGCAACGCGAAGAACCUUACCCAGGCUUGACAUAUACAGGAAUAUGGC
rnacentral:rRNA from 1 species